rnacentral:rRNA from 1 species
CUUGUGUACUGCGGGAGACAUUACCGAGUGCGGGCCCCUCGGGGCCCAACCUCCCACCCGUGUUGCCCGAACCUAUGUUGCCUCGGCGGGCCCCGCGCCCGCCGACGGCCCCCCUGAACGCUGUCUGAAGUUGCAGUCUGAGACCUAUAACGAAAUUAGUUAAAACUUUCAACAACGGAUCUCUUGGUUCCGGCAUCGAUGAAGAACGCAGCGAAAUGCGAUAACUAAUGUGAAUUGCAGAAUUCAGUGAAUCAUCGAGUCUUUGAACGCACAUUGCGCCCUCUGGUAUUCCGGAGGGCAUGCCUGUCCGAGCGUCAUUGCUGCCCUCAAGCCCGGCUUGUGUGUUGGGCCCCGUCCCCCCCGCCGGGGGGACGGGCCCGAAAGGCAGCGGCGGCACCGCGUCCGGUCCUCGAGCGUAUGGGGCUUCGUCACCCGCUCUAGUAGGCCCGGCCGGCGCCAGCCGACCCCCAACCUUUAAUUAUCUCAGGUUGACCUCGGAUCAGGUAGGGAUACCCGCUGAACUUAAGCAUAUCAAUAAGCGGGAGGA